UACGUAGGUGGCGAGCGUUGUCCGGAUUUACUGGGCGUAAAGAGCGCGCAGGCGGUCGUACAAGUCGCGUGUGAAAGCCCCCGGCUCAACUGGGGAGGUCACGCGAUACUGUUCGACUCGAAGGCAGGAGAGGGAAGCGGAAUUCCCGGUGUAGUGGUGAAAUGCGUAGAUAGUCGGGAGGAACACCAGUGGCGAAGGCGACUCCUGGCCUGUUCUUGACGCUGAGGCGCGAAAGCU
rnacentral:rRNA from 1 species